UGGGGAAUAUUGGACAAUGGGGGCAACCCUGAUCCAGCAAUGCCGCGUGUGUGAAGAAGGCCUUCGGGUUGUAAAGCACUUUCAGUGGGGAAGAAAGGCUCAAGGCUAAUAUCCUUGAGAGUUGACGUUACCCAAAGAAGAAGCACCGGCAAACUCUGUGCCAGCAGCCGCGGUAAUACAGAGGGUGCAAGCGUUAAUCGGAAUUACUGGGCGUAAAGCGCAUGUAGGCGGAUACUUAAGUCGAGUGUGAAAGCCCCGGGCUCAACCUGGGAACUGCAUUCGAUACUGGGUAUCUAGAGUAUGGUAGAGGAAAGUGGAAUUCCCGGUGUAGCAGUGAAAUGCGUAGAUAUCGGGAGGAACAUCAGUGGCGAAGGCGGCUUUCUGGAUCAAUACUGACGCUAAAGUGCGAAAGCGUGGGGAGCAAACA
rnacentral:rRNA from 1 species